rnacentral:rRNA from 1 species
GCCGCGUGGAUGAUGAAGGCCCUCGGGUUGUAAAAUCCUUUUCAGGGGGACGAGUAAGGACGGUACCCCUGGAAUAAGCGUCGGCUAACUACGUGCCAGCAGCCGCGGUAAGACGUAGGACGCGAGCGUUAUCCGGAUUUACUGGGCGUAAAGCGUCUGUAGGCGGAACAGUAAGUUGGGCGUGAAAGCUCCGGGCUCAACCCGGAGAGGUCGUUCAAUACUGCUGAACUAGAGGUCAUCAAAGGGGCGUGGAAUUUCCGGUGUAGCGGUAAAAUGCGCAAAUAUCGGAAGGAACACCAGUGGCGAAGGCGGCGCCCUGGGGUGGACCUGACGCUAAAAGACGAAAGCUAGGGGAGCGAACAGGAUUAGAGACCCUGGUAGUCCUAGCCGUAAACGAUGGAUGCUAGGUGUGGGACCGACAGGUUCCGUGCCGGAGCAAACGCGAUAAGCAUCCCGCCUGGGGACUACGGCCGCAAGGCUAAAACUCAAACGAAUU